UCAAAGGCAACAGUUGCAUAAACCCAGAGGCAUGAGAUGGUACAGCAAAUCCCUGGAUGCAAAAAAAAAUCCUUCACAAAUGUAGCACAGAAUAUGGGAGAUGAGAUAGGAAGGAGAUGAGGCAGUCCUUCACUUUGGAAUACUUAAUAGAAAUACCCAAAUACCUAACAGCCAAAAGAGUGACUCUCUCCUUGAGUUUAUUGUUUUUCUUUGAGUUGAACUUCAGUCAUUGAUGCAGUGUGUAUGCUCAGCCGUGUCCGACUCUUCAUGGCUCCGUGAACUGUAGCACACCAAACUGACUCCUCUCUGUCUACGGAAUUUUUCCAGACUGCCCUGUACAAUGGCACUUUGUGAGCAAGAGAGCCCUGCGCAGGGGCUGCCAGCCCGGGGCCCUCCGCUGCCAACGGGAAGGCUCAGAGCGGGCCCAGCGUUGCUGUUGGACGUCAUUCAGGAGCCCCUACUCGGUGGGGGGAGCCCAGAGAGGAAAACAAACAGAGCGAGGAGUAGUGGAAAACGCUGAGUCCUGGAGCUGGCCGGAACAACGUCCGCCUUUCCAAGCCCGGAGCCAGCGCUCUGCCCACCUGCAGCUGCGGCAGCGAGCUGGCUGUGCCAGGCAGGGGGCCUUGGCACCAGAACCUUCCCUUCCGAGGCCUGGGAGGGCGGAGCAGACACUCCGGGCUCUGCAGACAGACCCUUCAGAGACUUUACCCUGAACGUCCAAGACCUCUCCUUGUCCCAUGAAUCCAGGGGGGAAAAUGGUUCUCCCAGGAGGGAAAGAAAAGAUUUCUUGAGCUGUAGCUUCUCAUUUAUUACUAGCUCUUGUGGCUCAGUGGUAAAUAAUCUGCCUGCCAAGCAGGACACUUGGGUUCAAUCCCUGGAGAAGGAGAUGGCAACCCACUCCAGUAUUCUUGCCUGGAGAAUUCCAUAGACAGAGGAGCCUGGCAGGCUACAGUCCAUGGGGUCACAAAAAAGUUGGACACGACUUAGCAACUAAACAAACAAAAAACCCUUACAAAUCACUUACUGUGUGUCAAGUUUCAAGAUAUAUUAAACAACAAACACUACA